GUGGGGAAUCUUCCGCAAUGGACGAAAGUCUGACGGAGCAACGCCGCGUGAGUGAUGAAGGUCUUCGGAUUGUAAAGCUCUGUUAAUCGGGACGAAAGAGCCUAGUGUGAAUAAUGCUAGGAAGUGACGGUACCGGAAUAGAAAGCCACGGCUAACUACGUGCCAGCAGCCGCGGUAAUACGGAGGUGGCAAGCGUUGUCCGGAAUUAUUGGGCGUAAAGCGCGCGCAGGCGGAUCUGCCAGUCUGUCUUAAAAGUUCGGGGCUUAACCCCGUGAGGGAAUGGAAACUAGAGAGCUAGAGUAUCGGAGAGGAAAGUGGAAUUCCUAGUGUAGCGGGGAAAUGCGUAGAUAUUAGGAAGAACACCAGUGGCGAAGGCGACUGUCUGGACGAAAACUGGCGCUGAGGCGCGAAAGCCAGGGGAGCGAACGGGAUUAGAAACCCUGUAGUCC
rnacentral:rRNA from 1 species